GACUGUCUACGAGAGAGAAGCUCCCCAUGUGGUUCCGUCUUGAGAAGGGAGGGAAACACAGAAGAUGAGGGCUGAAAGAUGGCAUUGGACUUGGCACAGGGAUGGUCAGGAGGUCCUGAGUCACUUUGAGAAGGUGCAGAGGAAGCCAGAUUGAGCCAGCUUGAAGAGCCAGGGAGAGGGAGGGGUGGAGGUGGCUGUGGAAAAUGUUUGACUCUGAAAACUUGGGGUCUAGAAGGGAGGUGUUUGGGUUGCAUCUUUAGUAUGAGCUACUUGGUUAUGUUUAAAGCCUGAAAAUGAGUUAGUAGAGAAACUUUGAAAUUUAAGAGACAGAGAGCAUGUGGAUGCUGCUAGACACUGGUCCCUGAGGAGUCAAGAGAGUGAUUCAGAGGAUGGAGAGGUGCUGUUUCCUGGGAAUAGGGGUGUCCUCUCAUCACCACAGCACCAUUGUCAGCUUACAAAACCCAUCUAGAUGCUGUACUCCAGUAUUUCCAGUCCCCCCCAGUAAUGUCUUUUAUAUUAUUUUCCCUCCAGCACAGGAUGUGGUCUGGGAUCAGAUGU
rnacentral:sRNA from 1 species